GCCGGCGUAGCUCAGUUGGCAGAGCAGCUGAUUUGUAAUCAGCGGGUCGCGGGUUCGAAUCCUGCCGCCGGCU
rnacentral:tRNA from 3 species